rnacentral:rRNA from 1 species
UACGGAGGGUGCAAGCGUUGUUCGGAAUUACUGGGCGUAAAGGGCGCGUAGGCGACCUUUCAAGUCAGACGUGAAAUCCCCCGGCUUAACCUGGGAACUGCGUCUGAUACUGGGAGGCUCGAGUAUGGGAGAGGGAUGUAGAAUUCCAGGUGUAGCGGUGAAAUGCGUAGAUAUCUGGAGGAAUACCGGUGGCGAAGGCGGCAUCCUGGACCAUAACUGACGCUGAGGCGCGAAAGCUAGGGGAGCAAACGGG